GUGGGGAAUUUUGGACAAUGGGCGAAAGCCUGAUCCAGCCAUGCCGCGUGCAGGAUGAAGGCCUUCGGGUUGUAAACUGCUUUUGUACGGAACGAAAAGACUCUGGUUAAUACCUGGGGUCCAUGACGGUACCGUAAGAAUAAGCACCGGCUAACUACGUGCCAGCAGCCGCGGUAAUACGUAGGGUGCAAGCGUUAAUCGGAAUUACUGGGCGUAAAGCGUGCGCAGGCGGUUAUAUAAGACAGAUGUGAAAUCCCCGGGCUCAACCUGGGAACUGCAUUUGUGACUGUAUAGCUAGAGUACGGCAGAGGGGGAUGGAAUUCCGCGUGUAGCAGUGAAAUGCGUAGAUAUGCGGAGGAACACCGAUGGCGAAGGCAAUCCCCUGGGCCUGUACUGACGCUCAUGCACGAAAGCGUGGGGAGCAAACAGGAUUAGAUACCCCUGUAGUCC
rnacentral:rRNA from 1 species